rnacentral:rRNA from 1 species
GACAGAGGCCUCGAGCGUUAGGCGGAAUCACUGGGCUUAAAGCGUGUGUAGGCGGAUCGUUAAGUACCUUGUGAAAUCCCACGGCUCAACCGUGGAACGGCUGGGUAUACUGGCGGUCUUGGGCCAUUCAGGGGCGACUGGAACAAGCGGUGGAGCGGUGAAAUGCGUAGAUAUCGCUUGGAACGCCGAAGGUGAAAACAGGUCGCUGGGGAUGUGUCGACGCUGAGACACGAAAGCCAGGGGAGCAAACGGG